AAAGGUAGCAUAAUCAUUAGGGAUUUAAUUGGGACCUGGAAUGAAGGGUUGGACAAAGGAGAGACUGUCUUUACUGUAUAAGUUGAAGUUUACUUUUAAGUGAAAAGGCUUAAAUAUUUCAAAGGGACGAUAAGACCCUAUAAAGCUUUAUAAGAAGAUUAAAUUUAGUUGAUUCAAAUUAUAAAAAUUAAAUUUAGUUAUCUUAUUUCGUUGGGGUGAUGAGAGUAUAACUGUUAUUAACUGCUUAAAAAAAAUUCUGUCGUGAUAGAUUUAAUGAAUGUAUGAUCCUUUUUAGAGAUUAAAAGAUUAAGUUACUUUAGGGAUAACAGCGUUAUUUCUUUUGAGAGUUCAUAUCGAAAAAGAAGAUUGCGACCUCGAUGUUGAAUUAAAAUAUCUGUAUAAUGCAGCCGUUAUAGAAGAAAGUCUGUUCGACUUUUAAAAU
rnacentral:rRNA from 1 species